rnacentral:lncRNA from 1 species
AGGAACUAGAAAAUGCCUGGGGGCAGGGGUGGGAAGGGACAGGAGAUCCGGGCAGGAGCUAGACCACAGAAUCCUGCUUGACAGAAAGAGCCAUGAACAACAGCUGGCCAGAAAACCGAAGGAAUAAAAUAAGUGUCCAGUGAAAAUGAAAAAAAAAGAAGUUAUUGGGUUCGAUGCUACACAAAGAAUGAGAACCAGAUCCACGCACACAAGCUCCCCACACACACAUCUGGCACCCUCUUACGGAUGCUGUCAUUGUGUGAGCGGUAAUGCUCAGCUUUCAAUGUGAGGUAUGUCGAAUGGUUUGUGGUUAUUUUAAGCAGUAGCAUUUUUUUUUUUUUUUGCCAGUUCAUAAAUUUCUUCUAUUGUCAAUUAAGUGACAAGCCAACAUAGAUUUCAG